AUUAGUCUUUCUUCUAUACUGUUAUUUUUAUUAUAAUGUAUGCUUACGUUAUCUACAAGGACGGCGCCAGAGCCAUUGUGUCGCACCGACUGGUCAGGGAUUUCUCUCCUUCGUCUGAGAAAGAUAUCUCAAGCGGCAACAACAAAAUGAUUUAUUGGCGCGAGAAGAAAGAGAACGGAGACGGCGAUCUUGAUGAUUUCUUUCCUGGGGACGUCAUCGAAUUGGCGGAAUCAAAGCAAGAACUUGCGCGGAAAGUGCAGAAACGCCGUCUACGCUGGCCGGAUCAUGUAUUUCAUGAUGUCCUUGGGGUUGCCCCUUGUGAGGAAGAACUAAGC
rnacentral:lncRNA from 1 species